UACGGGGGGGGCAAGCGUUGUUCGGAAUUACUGGGCGUAAAGGGCUCGUAGGCGGCCAACUAAGUCGGACGUGAAAUCCCCAGGCUCAACCUGGGAACUGCGUCCGAUACUGGAUGGCUUGAAUCCGGGAGAGGGAUGCAGAAUUCCAGGUGUAGCGGUGGAAUGCGUAGAUAUCUGGAGGAAUACCGGUGGCGAAGGCGGCAUCCUGGACCGGCAUUGACGCUGAGGAGCGAAAGCCAGGGGAGCAAACGGG
rnacentral:rRNA from 1 species